rnacentral:rRNA from 1 species
CCUACGGGUGGCAGCAGUGGGGAAUAUUGCACAAUGGGGGCAAGCCUGAUGCAGCGACGCCGCGUGAGUGAAGAAGUAUCUCGGUACGUAAAGCUCUUUUCGGAGGGAAGAAAAUGAUGGUACUUGAUCAAGAAGCCUCGGCUAACUACGUGCCAGCAGCCGCGGCAAUACGUAGGGGGUAAGCGGUAUCCGGCUUCAUUGGGUGUAAAGGGGGCGUAGGCGGCAGAACAAGACUGGAGUGAAAACCACGGGCUUAACCCCGGUACUGCUUUGGAUACUGUUCGGCUGGAGUGCAGGAGGGGUAAGCGGAAUUCCUUGUGUAGCGGUGAAAUGCGUAGAUAUAAGGAGGAACACCAGUGGCGAAGGCGGAUUGCUGGACUGUAACUGACGUUGAGGCGCGAAAGCGUGGGGAGCAAACAGGAUUAGAUACCCUGGUAGUC